AUCCGCCUUUGAUGCCAGUCAGGUGCCCACAUCAGGGGCUUGGAGCGUCCCCAGCAGCAGCGAGGCUGCAGGCUCUACUCCUGCGGCCACCGCAUGCGCUCCUGCAAAGCGGCAGAGGCAGCGGCACGACUCACGUAACCUCACCAGAUUCUACCCCGUAACCAAGACCAGCAACGGAGGCACAGCUCGUCAAGUCUUGACUCGGCAGCCUCUGAAGCAAAAGACGCGUCACAGCCACGACCCG